rnacentral:rRNA from 1 species
UUGCCUCGGCGGUGCCCGCUCCGGCGGCCCGCCAGAGGACCCCCAAACUCUUUGUUUAUUACAGUAUCUUCUGAGUAACACGAUUAAAUAAAUCAAAACUUUCAACAACGGAUCUCUUGGUUCUGGCAUCGAUGAAGAACGCAGCGAAAUGCGAUAAGUAAUGUGAAUUGCAGAAUUCAGUGAAUCAUCGAAUCUUUGAACGCACAUUGCGCCCGCCAGUAUUCUGGCGGGCAUGCCUGUUCGAGCGUCAUUUCAACCCUCAAGCCCCCGGGCUUGGUGUUGGGGAUCGGCCCGCCCCCCGCGGCGGGCCGUCCCCCAAAUCCAGUGGCGGUCUCGCUGCAGCUUCCUCCGCGUAGUAGCAACACUCGCGCUGGAGCGCAGCGCGGCCACGCCGUUAAACCCCCCACUUCUGAAAGGUUGACCUCGGAUCAGGUAGGAAUACCCGCUGAACUU